GUCCAGACCGUAUAGGCUUGUACACUACAGUAAGGACUGGCUUUAAAUGACAGAAAACCACUGGAGCCAGGAGCAACGUGACCUGAUGCACAUUUUAAAAGGUUCGCUUCUGCUGCUAGGUGGAGAAUACAAAUAAACCAAGGCGGUAAAAGAAGGAAGGCUGUUAGAAGGCUAUUGCAGUAUUCCGAGCAAGAGAGAUGGCUUACGUUAGUAUAGGUAGUAAAUGGUUGGAUUCAAUGCCUACCAAAUCACUGUGAUGGCAUACUUACAUUUCUUAAAAUUUUAUAUGUCAAUAAUACCUCAAUAAAUUGGGGGGAAAAAAGUGGUUGGAUUCAAAAUAUAUACUCUGAGGUUGGAGCCAAAAAGUUUGUUAAUGAACCAAAUGUAGGGCACGGGAAAAAGAGAAAUCAAAGAUGACCCUAAGGAUUUUGGUCUGAGCCAAGGAGUGAAUGGAUGGGCCAUUUACUGAGUUGGGGAAGCAUCAGAGAAGGCUGUGCAGGGAAAUGAGAAUUCAGUUAA